CUUCACUAAACGAUGGGACUUUUUAUGUGGCUGUUAACAGACAAGUUUCUCCUGCAAAUUUGCCAGGUUGUUGUGAUGAGGAACAACUAAAAGAAAAGACAUCAUUUGUUCACCAUAAACAAAGCACCGCUCCUUACCUCUGGACACUCCACAAAUCUGCUGUUCAAGAGCCCUGGAAGCCUGGAAAGAUCUGAAAUAUUUACACAUGGAGAAGUGAGGCUGCCUUCCUUAUGUGGUCAUGGGAAUACGAAGGAGAACUUGCUCCUGGACCAAGGAGAGUACUUCGCUCAAACACGCCCGUUAUACAUGCAGCUGACACCAUUUUGCUCCAUGCUCAUUCUGCACACUCACAGGACUGCACCAGGGCGUGACACAGAGGGAGGCUGCAGCAGCCAGCACAGCACACCUCCAAGGAGACAGGCGUUGGUCCACUGCUCCUGGACAAGCUUUACCAGGGAAGCUGGCUGUGUUUGAACCCGCUCUUGAUUAUUCAAACUCCCUUUCUGUGACCAUCCUGUA